ACGAACGCUGGCGGCGUGCUUAACACAUGCAAGUCGAGCGGAAAGGCCCUUCGGGGUACUCGAGCGGCGAACGGGUGAGUAACACGUGAGUAACCUGCCCUAGGCUUUGGGAUAACCCUCGGAAACGGGGGCUAAUACUGGAUAUUCCCGCGGGAUCGCAUGGUUUUGUGGGGAAAGGUUUUCCGGCUUGGGAUGGGCUCGCGGCCUAUCAGCUUGUUGGUGGGGUGAUGGCCUACCAAGGCGACGACGGGUAGCCGGCCUGAGAGGGCGACCGGCCACACUGGGACUGAGACACGGCCCAGACUCCUACGGGAGGCAGCAGUGGGGAAUAUUGCACAAUGGGCGGAAGCCUGAUGCAGCGACGCCGCGUGAGGGAUGACGGCCUUCGGGUUGUAAACCUCUUUCAGCCCUGACGAAGCGCAAGUGACGGUAGGGGCAGAAGAAGCGCCGGCCAACUACGU
rnacentral:rRNA from 1 species